rnacentral:rRNA from 1 species
GGACUACUAGGGUUUCUAAUCCUGUUUGCUCCCCUUGCUCUCGCGCCUCAGCGUCAGGUGUAAGCUAGAAAACCGCUUUCGCCACCGGUGUUCUUCCACAUAUCUACGCAUUUCACCGCUACACGUGGAAUUCCGUUUUCUCCGCCAACCCUCUAGAUUCACAGUUUCAAAUGCAGCUCCGAGGUUGAGCCCCGGAAUUUCACAUCUGACUUACAAAUCCGCCUACGCGCCCUUUACGCCCAAUAAUUCCGAUUAAUGCUUGCACCCUACGUAUUACCGCGGCUGCUGGCAC